AAACAAUAAUAAACAUCAAGUCAAGUGAGAACGGACUGAUCUCGCUGUCGGAAAAAACCGAUCCUCUAGUGAGGAAAAACGGAUCACGUCAUAAGAUCACACACAUGAUUGGAUCAUAGGAUUCAUCGGAUAUCAUAGACACUUCGGAUAGGACUAGUGUCCCGUCCUCUUGCCUAAUUAGUUCAUGCUAUUCCCCGAGUUUUACUUUCCCGAAUUUGAGUUUUAGUGACGCCCGGUUGUUGGAGCGUUGGAGUCGUGUUUGAAAUCAGUGAUGGAAACAGAAGUAGACAUGGAAAGGGACAUUUUGUGUUUGCUCAAAGUCAAGGGCACUCCUCACUUGACAGAGAAAAUUCUGAAUCUACUGGAUGCUCGCAGUUUGGCUAAUGCUGAGCUUGUGUGCACACAGUGGAGAUCCUUCAUUGCUGAUGAAAGGUGUUGGAAAAAGUUUCUGCUGUCAAAAGAAGUCACUAGCAUUCCAAAUAUUAUCAGUUAUUGGGCUAAACCUAAAAGCGGCGAGGAGUCUGGCGAACAUUACUGUAAAUCAGAAUGGUUGCGAAUCUUCCGUUUCUAUCAGAAAUUAGAAGCCAACUGGCGAACUGGCUCUUGCGGAGCGAAGACAGUUAGGAUUAUUAAUGAAGUGAUUUGUUUCUCCAUGAACGCCACCAAAAUAUUCACUGCCGAAUAUGAUAAAAACAAAUUUCUCAUCAAAACCUGGAACAGAAAUCUUCUAUAUUGCGAAGAGACAUUCCAAGACGAAGGCCAAUGGCAAUCGGUCAGCAUGGAUUGCGACAAUGAUAUCCUCGUCACAGCGUCGAUCAAGGGCGUUGGUGAUAGUUUCAUUGAUCCAAACGCAAAUUCUCUCGUAAAUUAUAACAUCAUUGUUCGUGAAAUAAAAACUGGAAAAGAGAUAAAAAAUAUUGUGGUCGGUCCGUCGCGUUAUUUCGGUCAGUAUGAAACUGCAUUUAAGGUCCGCGUUGGCCAUGGAUUGCUCAUCAGCCAUCAUCAUCAACUUCAAUCUCCACCUUCAUCUGAUAAUGUGGUAAAAUCCCGUCUGGAUGUAUGGCAAGUGACAAAAAUCAGAGAAGAAGGAACCAAGGAAGGAACAAACAACCUCUAUAUUGAAGUUAAACCGGUUGAACCUGCUGAUGGCGCUGUGCCCUUUCCUAACGUUCUCAUUUCCACUUCCCAACAAAGUUCUACUCAUCCAAUUUUCAUUGGCCAUGACAAAACUUAUAUCGUCGUUCACUACAACAACCCUCCUCGUUUUGAAGUCGUAUCGACGUCUUCUCUGAACCUCACCAGGACCAUCGACGCUUUCGAUUACUGUCCCAGUGCUAAGUUCAAGGACGGAUUGAUUGUGUCGGGAAGCACCGGCACCUCUGCCAUGAUCAGGUUGUGGGACGUCGAAACGGGUUCGUGCCUGCGGGAAAUACGAGAACCUUGGAUAUGUAGCGAUAUUAAACUAGUCGGACUCACUGCCAAUUAUCUAGUCACUGUCCCGGGUCAUCCAGACAACAGGGAAAUGAAAAUCCGCGAUCUCAGCUCUGCCAUGGCUAAUAGUCAGACGUCCGAUUUGACAUUUCUUGCAACGCGUGAAGUGAAGUCGACAAGAUCCUCCCUAUUAUCCUGUUGUAUUGCGGAUCGAUGUGCUGGUGAAAUUAUUUACCCCCCCCCCCCCCCCAAGAAAAAACUGGAGAAGUGGAAAUUUGUGGAGAGAAUUUCAAUUUUGCAAGUUCUUAGCAGUUCUUAGUGCCAUUAUUCAUCCCUUCAGCCAGCUAUUACACAUCACCCAACCUUGUAAGUCCACUAAACCCAGCUAAAAUAAAAAUGUUUUCCGUUAAACCAUUUUCAUUUUUUAGAUAUUGUGUGGUCCAUUUCUUGCUAUUCGAUACUCUGAAACACAGCUGGGUAAAAGUGUGCAUUCAUUGAGUGAUCUAUUAAAUAGGUUGCAAGUGGAAUUACGUUCAUCGAUUGUCUAAUUAUAUACCAAACCGAACGCCCCCAAUAAUUCAGAUGUGAUUAAAUUUUAAAAAUAGUUUGUUCUCGUCUCAUUUCCUUAAAAUAAUUUAACGACUUAAAGAAAUGCCCUAGAAAUAUACGACAGAUUGCAUCACAUCCAGAUGGUGGUGAAACCUCAUAAGACCUGGUGAAAGAGAAGACAGCUCAAUCGCACAGACAAAGCGAAAUAAGACAUGGUCGAGAUACUGGGCUAUGUGAAAAAGGCGAACACAAGCCACCGCUAAAAGCUAAAGACGACAUAAUUUUGUGUAUAACUCUAAAUAAAGUGAAGUGAAAUAAUAUUUCUAUUGCACAGCAGAAAAUACAGAUUUUCGAUGGAUUUACCAACCCACUUUAACGGGUUAGUCUAAAUCGGUCUAAAAAUGGCUAUUAUUACUUUAUUAGCUAUAAUAAUCCAGCGGAUGUGAUCUCACCUGUCAAUCAAAUGGCGAUCAAGUUCACUUCAAAUGGUGAAAAUAUUACGGAAUGCGACGCAUCAAAAGCAACACCUGUGACGUGAUGGCAAGCGAAAUUUAACUUCAUUUGAAAAAGAGUUUUACUUUCAUAAUAGUAUCAUGAUCGUAUUGCUUUACCAUUUUUUGUGUAAAAUAACCUUCCGUGAAUUCAUUCUAAAUGUGUAUCUUAAAUGUCGCAAAAGAUACAAAA